AUUGAACGCUGGCGGCAGGCCUAACACAUGCAAGUCGAGCGGAGCGGCGGACGGGUGAGUAAUGCUUAGGUAUCUGCCUGGUAGUGGGGGAUAACGUCCGGUAACGGGCGCUAAUACCACAUACUAGCACAUUAGCCUCGAUUGGUUUAGCUAGUUGGUGGGGUAAAGGUCUACCAAGGCGAAGGUCCGUAACUGGUCUGAGAGGAUGAUCAUUCACACGGGAACUGAGACACGGUCCAGACUCCUACGGGAGGCAGCAGUGGGGAAUAUUGGACAAUGGGCGAAAGCCUGAGCCAGCCAUGCCGCGUGUGUGAAGAAGGUCUUCGGAUUGUAAAGCACUUUAAGUUGGGAGGCGUUACCAACAGAAUAAGCACCGGCUAACUUCGUGCCAGCAGCCGCGGUAAUUC
rnacentral:rRNA from 1 species